CGACCCCGACUCCGUCUCCAGCCUCUCGCUAACGACGGAUCGACCCGGAUGGUUCUCUGUCCUCCGGCAACGGCGAGGAGCAAGGCGGGUGGUGACGGCUUCAUCUCGUCCUCCCCAUCCUCCCUGAGGUCUCUAUUUUGUCAAAGGAGCUUCGGUCAAGGAGAUUCGAGCAGAAGAAGGAGAGGCUGGGUUCGCCGGCGAGUUUACGAUUCCGGCCAAUUCGUGGUAUCUCACCGGUGUGGAUAGCUUCGUGUCCUCAUCCUCGACGUCCCUGGGGCUUUAGCUUGUCCAGACGAGGUCAGAUGAGGGAGAAUCGAAGGAGAGAAGCUUCUGAGUUUUUCCGGUGAGGGUUCGGUGUUUUCCGGCGAAGUUGUGUUCGACUCAGGUAUCAAUCUUCAUCUACUCGUGGAGCUCUACCUGUUUGCUUGAAUUCGAGAUUGGUUGAGGUUUGGAGGAAGUUGGGUUUUAGGCAGUGGAGGACUGCCGUACGUGCCGCUGUGCACGGCGGCGACGGCGGUGGUUUUGGGAGUUGGUUUCCGGCCUCAUUAGUAUAUUGAAUUGGUGUGAGUGAUUGCAGAUGCUUGAAUUCGGGAAUUGGAGGAGUUGAUGAUUUUGGGUUUGCCGUUCAUAUCAGGUCACUGUUUGGUGUUUGCAGCAGCAGUAUGUGGUUCACUUUUGAUUUUGGUUGUUUGAUAUAUUGGAUUACAGUGUUGAGAAUUUGAGAAGUUGGAUGAUCGGAACUCGGAAGGUAUUGUUUUAGUUGGAAGGUGUAGAACAGUAGCCAUUGUUAUUGCUGUUUUUCUGGGUGAUUUCAACAGUUUCGGCCAGAUAUCGAAAAUAUCGCGAUAUAUCAUGAAAUAUCGAUAGUUUCAGACCAAAAUUUUUGGGGUGAGAAAAAAAUUUCGGUGUGUUAAAAAAACGAUAGUUUUGAUAAUAUUUCGACGAAAAUAUCGAUUUUUUCUUCUUUGGUCUGAGCAUGUUAAAAUUUGUACCAGAGCAUACCUAGUGUACGUUUAGAAACUUUAUACAACUGUUUGAAACGUUUUGUUAUGUGAUUGGAAAACCUAGUGCUAUGCCAAAAUCGUUUUGGCUCCAAUAGUUCAAAAUCAUUCUUUGAAAGCGGGAAGUUUGCCUCCAUUAGGUUUGUCUUUUGAAAACAUGUGUUUUACAAAUCACACAAUAGUUGAUUUAUUUUUGUUGUAUAAGUAUGUCGAUCUUUAUACUAGGGAAUACAUGGUGCAAGUUUUAAAAAUUUGUACAACAUUUCAAAACGUUCUGAAAAGAAAAAAAAAAAAAGACCUAGUGCUAUGUCAAAACUCCCAAAAUUUGUGACAGGCGGCAAAUUUCCCUUCACCCCUCAAAUUGGCUUUGAAAAGUUUAGACACAAUAAUUCUUCCAUAAAUAUCUGUUGUAUGAAAAACUUAGAAAAAUUUAAUGCCCUAUUAACUCCCACAAUGUUGCUCCAGGCUUUUUUACAGCGGAGACUUUGGCAUGAAAAUUCACCGUGUUAUAAACUUCACAUCUCUACAUGAAGAAACCUACGGCCUACAUUCUGCUUGCAACCCCUGGCAAUUGUGACAUAACCUCUAGAGUCUAGAGAUAACACCUUUCGGCCUUUAUGGAGGUUCAACAAAUUCAGCCAUUAUGGAAGUAUAUGGAAAAUGAGAACUCAGCAUUUUACUAAUCCAAUUUCGCAGCAACACUUGCAUCGUUACAGAUGCUCCCUAAACCAACUGUAACAAUAGCAAACAAACUGAGAAUACAAACUUCAAGUGAAGUGAAUAAAACCAGCAGGAAGGUGUAAUUUCAUGCACAUACCAAUUUGGCUAAAACUAGCCUUACAUCUCCAUACUGUUUAAACAAUAUAAAAACGAUUUGGUACUGUAGGUUCGGUUAUGCAAACUAGCUUACUAAAUUUUAGAACACCACAGUAUCAAGCAUCGUGCCCAAGGUCUGGACAAUGUUUGAGGACAUCAAGUUGGAGACAUGCUCCUCGAGGUGCUUCUUGGCAUCUUGUCUUCCCACAUUUGCAAUUGCAAGCUUCU
rnacentral:lncRNA from 1 species